AUCCUUUUGUAGUUCAUAAGCGUGAUGAUUGGGUGUUCACGCGGCUGUGUGACGUGUGCCUCCUUCAGUCCUUGUUACGGCAGCAGCACAUUACCCGUCUGACA
rnacentral:snoRNA from 1 species